UCUUAGCGCCACAUGAUACCUCCUC
rnacentral:misc_RNA from 1 species